CUCUGGUUUUCUGCCCUUCUCAUCUCCCGCGAUUUGUGUUGACGAAUCGUUCUUUUCCUCCUCCUCUUUCUGUGGGCUUCGGAAAAUUGUGGGCUUCGGAAGAGUGGUCUAAGUACCAUAUCGAGGUGUGAGGUGUCAUUUUCGAGCGAUUUCUGGCAGUGCAGCCUUUAAUCGUACAGUAAGAAUUUGGGCUGUUUUAUCCUGGAGACGGCGCGGUUGCUAGUCUACCUUGCACAAUUCAGGUAGUGCCGCGAAACGUCUUAAAGAGAGCGACUUGGUCGUGACUCAUCCCGGUAAUAGUUUCAAAAGCUCCAUCGUAUAUUUUCAAAUUACAAAAACAACCAAAU
rnacentral:lncRNA from 1 species